ensembl:lncRNA
GCAAACACACUGAGCGCUUCAGCUUGUGUUAGCUUGAUUCUGCACGUUGGCGUCUGGGUUUUCCGGUUCGGCCGCCCGAGGGCAGUUGGAGCUGGAUUUGCUCCGGCUGGGCUCCGCUGUGUUCUGCUUGCACCCCACCGCGCUGUCCCGCACCAAACACCCGCACACGAGCCUGUAAAACGCCCGGCGCAUUUCCCUGCUGGCCAGCGUGUAGAUGACGGGAUUCAUGGCCGAAUUCAAGACGGCCAGCCCGAUGAACCAAUCAGCGUAGAGCAGAAACGGGCACUUUUGGGUCUCGCAGGCCACGUCGACGAGGAGCAGCACGAAAAUGGGCGUCCAGCAGGCGAUGAAGACGCCCACCACGAUGCUGACGGUGCGCAGGAGGGCCAUAGAGUGCUCACAGUUGCUGUGCUUGGUGACUUUGCGGCUGCUGCUCUUGACCAGGAUGUAAAUGCGGGCGUAGAGGAUGGAGAUGGCCAGCAGGAGCGAGAUGAAGAUGGUGAUGCAGAACGCGACGUAGCUCUUGCUGUAAAGAGAAGCGACUGGCAGUGACUCACUGCGCUCAGCCCGCAGAUUUCAGAGGCGAGUAAUGGAAACAUCCCAGAAGAGAGCGAGAGACUGCCAAGAGCAGCCAGCAGCAGACCAGAGCAAGUCACACACAGUGAGCUCAGCUGACAUUCAGAUGAAGCUGCGGUGAAGGCCUGAUCUCUGCUGACGUGUGUGAGCUGCUCUGAAAGUGUGUGUUUAGCAUUUAUACGCCACAGAACGAGUCAAAGUUGAGUGCUCUGCUGUUCUUCUUGUUGUUUUCACUGAUCCUGGAUCACAUGAGUAUAAUGUGUCUGUAUUAUGUCUAAUUUAGUCAUAUUUAGCAAUACAACAUUCAGUUUAAUGGGUGAUUCUAAUCAAAACGGGUGUCAAGGUAACAUAUACUGUAUUUAUCUUUAUUUGGUCCAACUAUCUAUCUAUCUAUCUAUCUAUAUCUAUAUCUAUAUCACACACAAACAAAAUACAGGUGAAAAUCAAUAAAAAUCAAUAUGGAAAAAAAAUUGAUGCA